rnacentral:rRNA from 1 species
AGUGAACGCUGGCGGUAGGCCUAACACAUGCAAGUCGAACGGCAGCACAGUAAGAGCUUGCUCUUACGGGUGGCGAGUGGCGGACGGGUGAGGAAUACAUCUGAAUCUACUUUUUCGUGGGGGAGAACGUAGGGAAACUUACGCUAAUACCGCAUACGACAUACGGGUGAAAGCAGGGGAUCUUCGGACCUUGCGCGAUUGAAUGAGCCGAUGUCGGAUUAGCUAGUUGGCGGGGUAAAGGCCCACCAAGGCGACGAUCCGUAGCUGGUCUGAGAGGAUGAUCAGCCACACUGGAACUGAGACACGGUCCAGACUCCUACGGGAGGCAGCAGUGGGGAAUAUUGGACAAUGGGCGCAAGCCUGCUCCAGCCAUACCGCGUGGGUGAAGAAGGCCUUCGGGUUGUAAAGCCCUUUUGUUGGGAAAGAAAAGCAGCAGGUUAAUACCCCGCUGUUCUGACGGUACCCAAAGAAUAAGCACCGGCUAACUUCGUG